GACCGCGGCUUCGGCCGCGGGAAGGGCGCACUUAUUAGGCGAAAACCAAUCGGCUUCGGCCGCUGGUGGACGACACCCGAGUAAUUGCCGCCGAUCGCACGGCCUCGAGCCGGCGACGCCUCCACUGAGUUUCUGAUCUAUCAUGCUGUCGACGGUUGGUGCUAUGCCAACCGUGGCGUUAACGGAUAACAGAGAAUCUGGGUUCGAUUCUGGAGAGGCCGCAUGAGAAACGGCGACCACUUCCAAGGAAGGCAGCAGGCACGCAAAUUACCCACUUCGGACACCGAGAGGUAGUGACGAACAAUACCGAUGCGGUGCACUUACGUGUCGCCGUAAUCGGAAUGAGUACACUUCAAAUCCUUUAACGAGGAUCCACUGGAGGGGCAAGCCUGGUGCCAGCAGCCGCGGUAAUUCCAGCUCCAGCAGCGUAUAUUUAUAUUGCUGCGUUUAAAAAGCUCGUAGUUGAAGCGUCAGACGCGGGAGGACGGACGGCCGCACUGGUCGCU
rnacentral:rRNA from 1 species